AGCAGCUGACACCGGAUGAAAUGGAUACUAGCCUAGUUUGAUGUAAUUACUUACUAGUAGUAUGGGACUGGCUAAUAUAACUUUGAGUAGCAGAGAUGGGAGCCUUUGCCUUGGGAUUGACUUGGAAGGAGGUUGCUGCUAUCGUCUUUUUCGCAGUUCAAAAUUAUGGUUAAUUGCGUGGAGUAUCUGGGGACCGGGGCAUGACAAUAGAUGCCAAAUGUACAUCUUAAUUCUAAGAAGAGCAGAUUUGACUCUGUUAGUGCAGGUAUCGGAUUGCUCCGCUCUCUCAGUGUAAGUACAUCUCUGCAUAUCUUUAUUUCCUCAAUUAUAUUUGACUUUCUUAUGUUGAGUUGCCAAAUUAAAGAUAUUGCACUACUUUUUCGAUACUACAUUGAAUCUGGAACAUGCGAAACAUUAAAUUUUGAGUGUUAAUUAUUGAACAGGGGCUGCAUUUUAAAUUUGUAAACAUCCACUGUAAUGGUUUGGGGCUUGAUGGUUGUACCAAAUCUCUUUUUCUUAUUCCCAUGUUAUGUCCAUGUGUAGACCUUUUUGUAGCUUUCUAAUUUUGGGUUUUUCUUGAUGUGUGCUUACGUGGUUUGGGAUUACUUUCCUUUGCAGGCCUGGGUAAUAUAUAAAGCUUUGUGCUUUCAGAUUAAGGUAAAGUUUGAUUAUAUCUUAUAGUUAAUUCUGAUGCCCAUCGCAAGGUGUAUAAUUUUUUUCCAUUACACUUAUGUGUUCUAUCAAUUAAACUCUAGACCAACUACUAAUCUCCUAAGUUCUUUAAAUUCGGGUUUCUUAUAUGUUGUAGGAAAUGGCAUAUUUUGAGAUACUCUGCAUCUUUCUUUCUUUAGUUCUUUACAUUUGAAAGAGUGAGAAUUAUAUUGUUGGGACUUCGGAUUCUAUUUUUAUGUCCUAGUUUGUGUGAGGAUUGCUUGCCAUCCAUACAAGAAUGUUACUAAAGUGUCAGGCAAGUCUUUAUGUUUCAAUCCCAAACAAGUGCAUGUAUACAUAGCAGAAUUACACCAAUUAAUCUGUGGGAGGAAGGAUAUACAACAGCUCAUGAGAUAAAGAUAAAGAAUCAUAAUUUGAAAAUUUGGAAGCCACUACAUACUCAUUUCUUGUUGCUGUGUAAAUUUUGAAGGGUCCGACACUGACACUCAAGCAGCGUUUUGGAAAGAAAAUUUUGGAACUAGAAGAUGAGAAAAGAACUGUGCAGGUUCACUUAAAACCUUAAUAUUUGAUGUUCUUAUUCUUGAGAGAACCGAUAUUCACUUAAAACCUUUAUAAUUUUAGUUGGGGAUAGAACGUGUAAAAUUAUUGUUGUUUUUAUGUAUAAUGGUUGUGAAUAUCUUUGUAAAUUGUAAUAUUAUAGAUGUUUGUGGUUGUGGGCUGUUUUAAUUUUAUGAAAAAAUAAUUUUUUUUU